GCGCGCAAGCGCCAACCAUCCCGGCUGACCUGGAUCAAGCUGGGCGACGUGGGAACCAAUUUCUUUCAUGCAAAGAUCCGCUCGAGACGCAGAAAGAACUUCAUCCACAGCCUGAGGACGAGCAACGGAAUCGCCACGUCGCACGAGGACAAGGAGGCAGCCAUCUUCGAGCAUUUCAACUCCGUCCUCGGCUCCAAAGGUGCUCGCCCUAGAGCCAUAAACUGGAGCCAGCUGCAGCUGCCCACAAUCCAAGGAGGGGGCAUCGACAACCCCUUCUCCGAGGACGAAGUUUGGGAGGCGAUCAAGGCCUCGACGACAAAAAAAGCUCCGGGCCCGGACGGAUUCAUAGGAACCUUCUUCCGUAGUUGCCGGCAAACCAUCAAACACGACAUCAUGAGGGCUUUCCACCAGUUCUACUCCAUUGCCGGCGAAGAUCUAGAUGCACUCAACUCUGCCAUGGUAGUUUUGAUCCCAAAGAAGGACGGCGCAGAAACAGUCUCUAAUUUCAAGCCAAUUAGUCUAGUUCACUCCGUAGCUAAGCUGAUCACCAAAGUCCUCUCCAUGCGGCUCUCCAACGUCAUUGACUCCAUAAUCUCGCCGGCACAAUCUGCUUUGCUGGCAAAGAAAAGCACGCACGACAGCUUCCUCUACGUCCAGAAUGCAGUUAGGUCUCUACACAGGAAAAAAAACGCCCGCGCUCCUGAUCAAGCUUGA
rnacentral:rRNA from 1 species